rnacentral:rRNA from 1 species
UACGUAGGCAGCGAGCGUUGUUCGGAAUUACUGGGCGUAAAGAGUGCGUAGGCGGUGCUCUAAGUUUGGUGUGAAAUCUCCCGGCUCAACUGGGAGGGUGCGCCGAAAACUGGAGUGCUCGAGUAUGGGAGAGGUAAGCGGAAUUCCUGGUGUAGCGGUGAAAUGCGUAGAUAUCAGGAGGAACACCUGCGGUGUAGACGGCUUACUGGACCAUGACUGACGCUGAGGCACGAAAGCGUGGGGAGCAAACAGG